GAUGAACGCUGGCGGCGUGCCUAAUACAUGCAAGUCGAGCGAAUGGAUUAAGAGCUUGCUCUUAUGAAGUUAGCGGCGGACGGGUGAGUAACACGUGGGUAACCUGCCCAUAAGACUGGGAUAACUCCGUGAAACCGGGGCUAAUACCGGAUAACAUUUUGAACCGCAUGGUUCGAAAUUGAAAGGCGGCUUCGGCUGUCACUUAUGGAUGGACCCGCGUCGCAUUAGCUAGUUGGUGAGGUAACGGCUCACCAAGGCAACGAUGCGGGGCCGACCUGAGAGGGUGAUCGGCCACACUGGGACUGAGACACGGCCCAGACUCCUACGGGAGGCAGCAGUAGGGAAUCUUCCGCAAUGGACGAAAGUCUGACGGAGCAACGCCGCGUGAGUGAUGAAGGCUUUCGGGUCGUAAAACUCUGUUGUUAGGGAAGAACAAGUGCUAGUUGAAUAAGCUGGCACCUUGACGGUACCUAACCAGAAAGCCACGGCUAACUACGUGCCAGCCGCCGCUGUAA
rnacentral:rRNA from 1 species